GACGAACGCUGGCGGCGUGCUUAACACAUGCAAGUCGAGCGGUAAGGCCCUUCGGGGUACACGAGCGGCGAACGGGUGAGUAACACGUGGGUGACCUGCCUCUAGCUCUGGGAUAAGCCUGGGAAACUGGGUCUAAUACCGGAUAUGACUCCAUGACGCAUGUUGUGGGGUGGAAAGCCUUGUGCGGCUGAGGAUGGGCCCGCGGCCUAUCAGCUUGUU
rnacentral:rRNA from 1 species